GACGAACGCUGGCGGCGUGCUUAACACAUGCAAGUCGAACGGAAAGGCCCUGCUUUUGUGGGGUGCUCGAGUGGCGAACGGGUGAGUAACACGUGAGUAACCUGCCCUUGACUUUGGGAUAACUUCAGGAAACUGGGGCUAAUACCGGAUAGGAGCUCCUGCUGCAUGGUGGGGGUUGGAAAGUUUCGGCGGUUGGGGAUGGACUCGCGGCUUAUCAGCUUGUUGGUGGGGUAGUGGCUUACCAAGGCUUUGACGGGUAGCCGGCCUGAGAGGGUGACCGGCCGCGUUGGGACUGAGAUACGGCCCAGACUCAUACGGGAGGCAGCAGUGGGGAAUAUUGCAGAAUGGGCGGAAGCCUGAUGCAGCAACGCCGCGUGCGGGAUGACGGCCUUCGGGUUGUAAACCGCUUUCGCCUGUGACGAAGCGUGAGUGACGGUAAUGGGUAAAGAAGCACCGGCUAACUACGUG
rnacentral:rRNA from 1 species